rnacentral:ncRNA from 2 species
CGCUCUGAUAUCGACGACGGCGAGACGGAAGCCGGUGAGAACCCGGCACGGUCGCGCCACUGUGGACGGUGUACCCCGAAGGGGCACACACCGCGAGUCAGACCCGUGGCCGUCGUCAUGUGCACCAC